CCUACGGGUGGCAGCAGUGAGGAAUAUUGGUCAAUGGGCGUAAGCCUGAACCAGCCAAGUCGCGUGAGGGAUGAAGGUUCUAGGGAUCGUAAACCUCUGUUAUAAGGGAAUAAAGUGUGGGACGUGUCCUAUUUUGGAUGUACCUUAUGAAUAAGGAUCGGCUAACUCCGUGCCAGCAGCCGCGGUAAUACGGAGGAUCCGAGCGUUAUCCGGAUUCAUUGGGUUGAAAGGGUGCGUAGGCGGCUUUUUAAGUCAGCGGUGGAAGUCUGUGGCUCAACCAUAGAAGUGCCGUUGAAACAGGGGGGCUUGAGUAUGUUUGAGGCAGGCGGAAUGCGUGGUGUAGCGGUGAAAUGCUUAGAUAUCACGCAGAACCCCGAUUGCGAAGGCAGCCUGCCAAGCCAUGACUGACGCUGAUGCACGAAAGCGUGGGGAUCAAACAGGAUUAGAUACCCGGGUAGUC
rnacentral:rRNA from 1 species